rnacentral:rRNA from 1 species
UACGAAGGGGGCUAGCGUUGUUCGGCCUUACUGGGCGUAAAGCGCACGUCGGCGGAUAUUUAAGUCAGGGGUGAAAUCCCGCAGCUCAACUGCGGAACUGCCUUUGAUACUGGGUAUCUUGAGUAUGGAAGAGGUAAGUGGAAUUCCGAGUGUAGAGGUGAAAUUCGUAGAUAUUCGGAGGAACACCAGUGGCGAAGGCGGCUUACUGGUCCAUUACUGACGCUGAGGUGCGAAAGCGUGGGGAGCAAACAGG